rnacentral:rRNA from 1 species
CCCGCACAAGCGGUGGAGCAUGUGGUUUAAUUCGAUGCAACGCGAAGAACCUUACCUGGUCUUGACAUCCACGGAAGUUUCAGAGAUGAGAAUGUGCCUUCGGGAACCGUGAGACAGGUGCUGCAUGGCUGUCGUCAGCUCGUGUUGUGAAAUGUUGGGUUAAGUCCCGCAACGAGCGCAACCCUUGCCAUUAGUUGCUACGAAAGGGCACUCUAAUGGGACUGCCGGUGACAAACCGGAGGAAGGUGGGGAUGACGUCAAGUCCUCAUGGCCCUUAUAGGUGGGGCUACACACGUCAUACAAUGGCCGGUACAGAGGGUAGCCAACCCGCGAGGGGGAGCCAAUCCCACAAAGCCGGUCGUAGUCCGGAUCGCAGUCUGCAACUCGACUGCGUGAAGUCGGAAUCGCUAGUAAUCGCGGAUCAGCAUGUCGCGGUGAAUACGUUCCCGGGUCUU